UGAGGAACAUGACUUUCGGCGGGGGAUAGCCGGCCCAACGGCCGGGUAAUACCGCGUACGACCACAUGGGGACAUCCCUGAGUGGUGAAAGCAGCAAUGCGCCGAUGGAGUGCCUCGCGGCCUAUCAGCUAGUUGGUGAGGUAACGGCUCACCAAGGCGACGACGGGUAGCUGGUUUGAGAGGAUGGCCAGCCACAUUGGGACUGAGACACGGCCCAGACUCCGUAGGGAGG
rnacentral:rRNA from 1 species